rnacentral:lncRNA from 13 species
CUGAGUGGGUAUGGGUAAACCUUAACGUAGAGCGCCACUGCCGCCGCAACGUCAGUGCCGCAGGACAUCCCGGAUGUCGACCACUCAUCGGCCUGACACUGCAGCUGCAAGAAUAAUUGCAGAAUAAGAGCCAGCUACUUUAGUGCCCAGGAGGGUGAAGUAUACAAUGAGAUUUAAAGCUGGAACGAAACAUCCAGCAGCUAAACCGCAGUCCGAGUCACAAGGAGCAGUUGUUUCAGCUGCUCUUUCUGAAGUGGUUGAUGCUUUAUUUUUGAGUGUCUGCCGGGUUGUCCUGCCCAGCUAGGAGGCAGUCUUGUCCUGCCGGGGCUCCGCCCUGCCGGUAUGAGGUUUACCCUGCUUCUGCGGGCUCCGCCCUGAAGCGGAGUCCCUCUGUUGUACCAGGUUGCCUCGGCAACGGCAGGCUGUGUCAGCAAUGGGCGUGUACCUCAGUAGGGGCUGAUUGCCUCGGUAAUGGCGGACGCCUUUCCUGCACGGAGCUGCACCUUAAGAUUUCCUCCAACUAUCUCCCAUUGCACACACCUAAUUGGAAGUGGAAGUCAAGGCAGCUCCAGGGAUGCCAUGGCAGGCAUCAGAGCAAAGUAGGAAAGAGCAGAGAAUGGAUUAGCAGGGGCAACCGAAGACUGGCCUGCAUGCUCCCAGUUUAUUCUCAACACAGCAGUGAGAGUAACAGAGAACCACUCUACACUGCUAAAGCCAAAAAGGAGACAGAUGUGUCUCCUGCAACCAAGGGCAUAAGCACAGCAGAGCCUCAGGAAAGACUAGAAUUGAGCCAGGGCCUGGGAGGUCCACGGUAAUUCUGAAAGUGUUCUUCACAGCCUGUCAAUUCUCAACGUUUGUGUGAAUCUGUUUAUUCUGUCUGUCUCUCUCUCCCUCUCUGAGGUAGAUUCCUCACUGUCCAAUCAGCAUGGUGGCAGAUAGUCUUUUCAAUUUUCUGAGUUUUGAUUUUGGGAUCAUACUUGUAGUAAGACUAAAUCUUAAUUUGUAGAUGGAGGACUUUGGUUGGUUUAACUGUCCAUUCAUCACUGUCCCACUUGACUCUAUAUUGUUUAAACAUUGUUGCAAGGGCAGAAUGGAAGGAACUUUUAGGGGAGUUUGAUGAAAAGUAUGAAGACAACCAAAAUAGUUAUUACUAUAGGAGACUGAAUAUGUUUCUGUGGGCUCAUUGGUCAUUUGAAUUUCUACAUGUUAGAAUUACCAAAGUAUAUUCUUUUUCCAUCUUACUAUUGGUAUGUUCAUCAAUUUCAUACUAAUUUGAAAGUGCUUUUAUUUAUUAUAGUUAUUAUCCCCUUUCCACCUAUAUUUCAAAUUACCUACUGGUUGUGAUAUAAUUUUUCAUUUUGUGUAUAGUCCCUUUUCAGCCCCAAGGUUUCAAAGUCAUAUAAAUAUAUCAACUCUGAAGUAAGAUUCCAUUAGUUCUUACUUACCUGCUCAGGUUCUGUAACUGCUGAGUGUCCAUGGGCAAGUUUAAUUUCUCUACACUUUGGAAAAUGAAUCUAAUGCCCUACUACUGUAGAAGUUUCUUGUAGGGAUUAAAUAGGUUUUUACAUAUAAAAUGUAAAUGCUUGAAAUAAAAAAACUGCAGAGUGAACA